UGUGUGCUGGCCGUUGAGGACCCUAGUUGAUCAGUGGCGCAGACUAGCGCAUAGAGCACACGGCUUGGGAGGACUGGUCGCAAGAUUAAAAUUCAGGGGAAUUGACGGGGGCCCGCACAAGGGGUGGAGCAUGUGAUUUAAUGGGAAGCAACGCGAAGAGCUUUAUCAGCCCGAGACAUGUCGGUGGCGGAUUGUGGAGACAGAAUCCUUCAGUUCGGAUGGAUGGAGCACAGCUUUUGCAUGGAUGUAGUCAUCUCGUGUCGUGAGAUAUUGGGUUAAGUCCUGCAUAGAGCGCAACCCUGGUCAUCGGUGGCGAUGGGUUCGACCGGGCAGUUUGGGGAAACUGCCGGUGAUAAGCUGGAGGAAGGCGGGGAUGACGUCAAGUCCUCUUGGCCAUUAUGGGCUGGAGUACACACGUGAUACAAUGGCGGAGACAGCGGGCAGCGAAGGGGCAACCCGGAGCCAAUCCCCAAAAACCGUCUCAGUUCGGAUUGUGCUCUGCAACUCGAGUGCAUGAAGGUGGAAUCGCUAGUAAUCGCGGAUCAGCAUGCCGCGGUGAAUACGUUCCCGGGCCUUGUGCACGCCGCCCGUCACACCAUGGGAGUUGGUUUUACCGGAAGCUCGGUGAGCUAACCGCAAGGAGGCAGCCGACCACGGUAAGGUCAGCGAGUGGGGUGAAGUCGUAACAAGGUAGCCGUA
rnacentral:rRNA from 1 species